rnacentral:piRNA from 1 species
GUAGAUGUGUUAGACCAAAUGGGGA